rnacentral:rRNA from 1 species
UGAGCAAUCUGCCCUUCUCAUCGGAAUAAGCGUUGGAAACGACGUCUAAUGCCGAAUACGACCUCCUUUCGCAUGAUCGGAGGUGGAAAUCUCCGGCGGAGAAGGAUGAGCUCGCGGCCUAUCAGCUAGUUGGUGUGGGUAAUGGCCCACCAAGGCGACGACGGGUAGCCGGCCUGAGAGGGUGACCGGCCACACGUGGGACUGAGACACGGCCCAGACCUCCGUACGGGAGCA